rnacentral:misc_RNA from 1 species
UAAAGGCAGAGAUGACCAUCCCACUGAAACUUUAUCCAUAUUGAACGCAAAUAUACCACAAAGUGCAUUCAUUACCUGAACUAAACAAUCGCGAGUACUUUCUUCUCAGAUAAUAAAAAAUGUAAUCUAAGUAAAAUGAAAGGUGUGGCUAGGUAGAUUUCCAUUUCUUGUUCUUGAUAGCAAUAUUAAUAAGAAGAAAAACCCCCUUUGGCUAAAGCAAGCACCUCUAAAACUCUCAUGAGAAUGACAACCAUGAUGGCCAUCUCUAGGGAAGAUGAUAAUGCAAAACGAUCAAUCUUGAAUAUUGAUGCAGACGUUAGCGGCAAAAAUGAAGGAAUAGAUAGAUAGGCCAUGGAUAACAGCUAGCAAUUUGUCCUUUCCAUGCAAAGCAUAUUGCAG